rnacentral:misc_RNA from 1 species
AAAAAAAAAAAAAAAAAAGAUUCCUUGUGUACCAACAUAAGAAAACUAAUCAUAUUUUAGGAGUUGCAUUCUAUUUCCUUUUCUAGAGUAAGCCAAACAUGCCCUAAAUCUUUGGAGGUCCUAACCAUUUAGAGUUUGAAAUCAGUAUUAUAUUUUCACCAGUUUAUCUGUUUAUUAUGUGGUUUGCUGAUACUGAGUUUAACUUUUGUAUUGCAGG